AAAUGAAAAGGGACUAUAUGUCCUCUGACAAUCACAUCUGCUCUUUCCUUGCCCCUCACAUUUUAAAAAGAAAGGUUAGGUUUGGCCCCACCUCCUUGCCUGUACCACAUCUGCCCUGUCAACACUAGACACUGUCCUACUGCCUUGGCCUCUUCUAGCGUAUCCCUCCUUGGCUCAGCCUUGUUCCCCAAAGUCUCGUGAGGUGUAUUUGUUUUGUUUUUGCAUGCGAGGCAUGAGCUUUAAGGCUGAGCUGCAUUCCCAUCCCUUAUUUUAUUAUUAUUGUUUGUUUAGACAAGGUCUAGAAUUCACACUCUUACUGGGUCAGCUUCUUGAGUGCUGAGAUUACAGCCAUGCUCUCUUACAUAGGACUUUUAACACAGAGUAGUUUUUCUCAUCUGUGUUCAAAAACCUAUUCCUUUGAUGGAUAGUUAGCUGCUUGGGAGGAGGAAAAUAGGCUUCUUUUAUUAAUCUAUUCAUAUUUCAGCGAUUAACUGAUGCUAUAAAUAUUUUUCCAGAAAUAAGUAUAUAUAUAGUCUAGUGAAGAUUAUGUAGACUAAAAAUUUUGGAGAAUAGGACAAGUUUGCCUCCUAACCUGCUCUCUCAGCUCCCCUCACUUUGAAAACAAAAAUUUGUUUCUGCAAUUACAAAUGACAGAAAUGUUCUAAGUCCCUUUCCUGUCCCCUGUCCUUUCAGUUCUGAUGGUAGCAGGUGAUGUAAGUGAUAGGGAGUACACUUGUGAAUAUUAGGCACUUGUUUUGCGCUCACCAUUUUCUCCCAUGACAUCAUAGGUGAAAUGAUUAUUUACAUUGUAUACAAAGGGAAAUUCCUUCUUAGGUUUAUAAGAGUACCAGCUAUUGCCUAUGGAUACAUUCACACAAUAGAAGUGGAUUGUAGUAACUGGUAUCUGUGAUAAUUACAGAUGCAGUGUCAAGCAAGUGGCUGGGUCGUUUUGGAAAACGGUGUUAUAAUACUGCAGGAUCUAAUGAACAACAGAUGGGGGUUAAUGUGUAAUGAUACAACAUCUGAACUGAAGAUGUGAAAGAAGCCAUCAGAAGGCUUCCUGACCUAAACAGCAGACUCUUUAGCAUUGAGAGAGCCCUGGACAUGACUGUGAAGCAUCAGAUCUUGCCUAAGGAGCAGUGGACGAAGUAUGAGGAGUUAGAAGAGGUUUCAUAUGUCUAUCAAUCUGAUACUCAGGAUGCAGUUUCAGAAGCAGAGAAACACACUCACUGGGGCAGUACAUUUGUGUUCUCCAAGUCACACCACAUAAAUAGCAUUUCAGCAGCAAAAUGAGGACAAAUUCUCCCUUGAAUCCUCUCUGAGAAGUUAUUUGGGAAGAAGAGAGAAAAAUGGGCGAAGAGGUGAUCUUUUUUUUACUCGAGAUCCUGAUGUGCCUGGUCCAGCAUAUUUUUAUGAAGUUGGUUCAACCUGAAUCACAAUUUAAGAAUUAUUUUCUCUGCAAGUAAUUUUAAAUAAAUGCCUAUUAUAACCAUU